GCUUACGGCCAUACCAGCCUGGGUACGCCCGAUCUCCUCUGAUCUCGGAAGCUAAGCAGGGUCGGGCCUGGUUAGUACUUGGAUGGGAGACCGCCUGGGAAUACCAGGUGCUGUAAGCA
rnacentral:rRNA from 1 species